CUCGCUCACUCUUGCCAAUCUUCUAUUUCUUCUUCUUGAAUUUU
rnacentral:sRNA from 1 species